AUCACUUCACUGCGACAACAACCUAAAUACAUAGUUCACAUUCCAUUCAUUCCACGAUUAACUAAAGCAACCAAAAUACAGACCAUUACACAAAGACCACAAACACAAACAAUGACAAAAGUCUUAAGCAACACACAAAUCUUAUUUGGACUUGGCAUAACCCAUUUCUCUUCAUUGUGCUGCACUUGUCUCCCCACUGUCACUUCAUGAGUAGCAAUAGCAACCGGCCAACCAACAUCCCGAGUAACACUAGCUCGCGUGCCAUUCUGCAUUCUCUCUUCUCUCAUGUCUCUAGAUUAUGAACCCUAAUGCCACGCUUGUUCCUCAAGAAUGCCACAUAUAGUCUCUGUUCCACAGAUAGAAGCCACAUCGAGUCGAUCUGUUCCUUCUUCAAAACUGCAAAGUUAAUCAAUCAAAAAGCACAAAAUUUGUAGCACCUUUACCAGAGCUCCACACACCUACCUUUUGAUUUGGACAAGUGAACAAGAUCAUGUUCGGGUUAUCGUUGGUCUAGGAUGUGAGAUCCACCACCUUCCUCCAUUCGUAGUCAGGGCAAAAUAUGAGUGGAAUGUUAGGCCUUUCACAGCACUAACUCAAUGACGAAUUGGAUGGGCUCAAAACCAUGGCUGGGAAUCAAGCAAAGGGGUGGAGGGACCAGACAAAGAGACAAGAGAAUGCGAAAGAGAGAAAUAAAAAGGGCAGGAGUGCCUCAAAUUAAUGACACCCAAAUUGGCAGGAACCGAGACACAAAUUCCCGCCAAAAUGACCUAGUACCCGACAUCAA
rnacentral:lncRNA from 1 species